ACGGCCUCCAUGGCCAGAUCUCAGCAAGAUCCACCAGUUUCGGCCUCAUCUUUAGUUUUCCAGGCUUUUCCUCCUUCGACAAUGACAGUCAACAUGGAGCAGUUUGACCUACUGGUUCAGCAGGUCAGAGGCCUCACCGAAGCGAUGCAGGCCAUGCAGCAGUAGUAGCAGCAGCCACAGGCAUCUGCGUGGCUAGUCGCCUUGUAUCCCUCAGAAAGGGGA
rnacentral:lncRNA from 1 species